UCCAGAGUUGAUAAUGCUCAAAAAGAUAAAAAGUUAUAGACACUGAAGUGAAGUUGCCCACUGAAGCUAAGCAGGGUUGAGCCUGGUCAAUACCUGGAUGGGAGACCUCCUGGGAAAACUAGGCUGUUGUUGGAA
rnacentral:rRNA from 1 species